rnacentral:rRNA from 1 species
AAUCCACCUGUAACAGGGGGAGUAACCCGGAGAAAUCCGGACUAAUACCCCAUAAUAUGGGCGCUCCGCAUGGAGAGCCCAUUAAAGAGAGCAAUUUUGGUUACAGACGAGCAUGCGCUCCAUUAGCCAGUUGGCGGGGUAACGGCCCACCAAAGCGACGAUGGAUAGGGGUUCUGAGAGGAAGGUCCCCCACAUUGGAACUGAGACACGGUCCAA